rnacentral:rRNA from 1 species
AUUGAACGCUGGCGGCAGGCCUAACACAUGCAAGUCGAGCGGAUGAAGGGAGCUUGCUCCUGGAUUCAGCGGCGGACGGGUGGGUAAUGCCUAGGAAUCUGCCUGGUAGUGGGGGAUAACGUCCGGAAACGGGCGCUAAUACCGCAUACGUCCUGAGGGAGAAAGUGGGGGAUCUUCGGACCUCACGCUAUCAGAUGAGCCUAGGUCGGAUUAGCUAGUUGGUGGGGUAAAGGCCUACCAAGGCGACGAUCCGUAACUGGUCUGAGAGGAUGAUCAGUCACACUGGAACUGAGACACGGUCCAGACUCCUACGGGAGGCAGCAGUGGGGAAUAUUGGACAAUGGGCGAAAGCCUGAUCCAGCCAUGCCGCGUGUGUGAAGAAGGUCUUCGGAUUGUAAAGCACUUUAAGUUGGGAGGAUGGCAGUAAGUUAAUACCUUGCUGUUUUGACGUUACCAACAGAAUAAGCACCGGCUAACUUCGUG